GGGUGAGUAACGCGUGGGUAACCUGCCCUGUACACACGGAUAACAUACCGAAAGGUAUGCUAAUACGGGAUAACAUAAGAAAUUCGCAUGUUUUUCUUAUCAAAGCUCCGGCGGUACAGGAUGGACCCGCGUCUGAUUAGCUAGUUGGUGAGGUAACGGCUCACCAAGGCGACGAUCAGUAGCCGACCUGAGAGGGUGAUCGGCCACAUUGGAACUGAGACACGGUCCAAACUCCUACGGGAGGCAGCAGUGGGGAAUAUUGCACAAUGGGCGAAAGCCUGAUGCAGCAACGCCGCGUGAGUGAUGAAGGCCUUCGGGUCGUAAAGCUCUGUCCUCAAGGAAGAUAAUGACGGUACUUGAGGAGGAAGCCCCGGCUAACUACGUGCCAGCAGCCGCGGUAAUACGUAGGGGGCUAGCGUUAUCCGGAUUUACUGGGCGUAAAGGGUGCGUAGGCGGUCUUUUAAGUCAGGAGUGAAAGGCUACGGCUCAACCGUAGUAAGCUCUUGAAACUGGAGGACUUGAGUGCAGGAGAGGAGAGUGGAAUUCCUAGUGUAGCGGUGAAAUGCGUAGAUAUUAGGAGGAACACCAGUAGCGAAGGCGGCUCUCUGGACUGUAACUGACGCUGAGGCACGAAAGCGUGGGGAGCAAACAGGAUUAGAUACCCUGGUAGUCCACGCCGUAAACGAUGAGUAUUAGCUGUCGGAGGUUA
rnacentral:rRNA from 1 species